ACAGGCUCAACCCAUUGACAUAUGCAGACCAUCUGGAGCACGGGGUAAAUCUCAGUGCUAUUUUCUUUUAACUGCAGAGUUCAGGUGGCAAGUAGUGGCAGGUUCAGGAAAACACAGUGAGCACUACUGCCCUCAACACACCCACACAAGCUAUGUAUUUAUUUCUGCCCCUUAUUGGCUGAGGGUAAAAAAAUAAAAAUAAAAAAAUCCUAUUCCAUCUACUCCAUUAGGCCAUAUUGGCCCAAACUACAAAUUCACCUGUUUGUUGUUUUUUGAAUUUUUAUGAAUUUAUAUUUUGGUGGGGGAGAGGUAAGUAUGGCAGAGAGGUUAGGAGACUAAGGUACAAGAGCAGAAUUCCUUGGUUCAAAUCCUAGCUCCCCUAAUUAAUAACUAUGUGGCCCAGAGCAAGUUACCUAAGCUGUGUUUCUUUAUCUGUAAAAUGGAGAUGACCUUUUGCCUCAGGGUUUAAUAUCAUAUCUGUAAAGUGCCCAGAGUAUUGUUAGUUGACAACAUUACCUUUCUCUCACACAGAAGUGAACUCCAUGGCUUCAUUCCAUUAAGGAAAUCAAGAAGGACUAGAGAAAGGAAAGGCAACCUAUGCAUCAUAAAUUCCAACUCUGAGAAGGAGAGGUAGAAAAGGAGACCAGAAAGCAAAGUGCUAAGAGAGGAGACCAUCUGGCUCACUGUUGGACAGCCUGGAUGCUACAGCUGGACUUCCAGGAAGCUAAGCAAGCAGGAAACAUGGGCCCAGAAGACAGCUUACUGAAGAGGGACCAUGGAAAAGUUUAGCAAUGCUACCAACUUAGAAUUAUUGAUCAAUAAUUUUGUUAGACAAGACGAAACCAUAGAAAUAGGUAAUAUUGUGUUAUUUUGUUAAUUUUUGCUUUUUCCUAGCUUCUAUAAUCAUGGAAGAACUUGAGCAUGAUUGUCUUUUCACAUAAAGGGGGGAAAGGGGGGUGUAUGUCUUGAAUGAUGUGUGGUUCACAUUGUGGCCGAUCCCUACACCAAGUGCCCAGGAGUGGAGUCAUAUAACUCACAGGCAAAAUGCCAGUGGGUCGAGAGUAUAAGAAAUCUAACAGUGCCCAUUUCCUACAGAGCAGCAAAUGGCAUUUCAGAGCAAUUUUCAUGGUGUCAUCUUUUCCAAGGUUUAUGUACACAGGGAAGAUGGAGGGAACUUCUAGAUAUAUUUGCAGGCAUAUGAAAAAGACAGAAACAAGGGUGGCUGGCACUCAAAGCAAAAGCAAGUUGAUUCUGUUGUGUAACAAUGUGAAACUACUUAAUGUGAAUGCACUUAAUGCCCUAAAAUGUGCACUUAACAAUGGUUAAACAGGUGAUUAAAAUGGUAAAUUUUAUCUCAUAUAUAUUUUACAAUAAUAAUUUAUUUAAUGAGCAAAUAGAAUGAGGGGAUCAACUCGAUUCUUUAUAACCUGCACAGAGGGAAGGGAGCAAUGGUGCAGUUGGUUCAAAAACAUGUUUAUUUGGUUUUGGAUGGCAACAUAGGAGCCCAUGUGUGUGGCUGGUAAUGUUCCUAGGUAUGUUCACCUUUCUCUUGGGCACACGCUAUCUGAUAACAAAAGAAGAGAGUGCUUCAGUGGACUGAGUAGCAUGAAAGGAGGCGCAAAAGCUACUCCUGGCCAUGCGUGAUCUGCAGAGUGACGGGCAGUAACUGUACCAACACUGGGCAGAAAGGCCCAGCUAUCUAUGCACUGCCCACACAGCUGAUACUCCCCUGGCCCAUAGCAUGUUUGUGGGGUCCGGCCAGGGCUAUCCUAGAACACAGUAAUAGGCAGAGACUUCCACAUGCUCAUACCCAAGGUCUUGUCCUCAGAAGCUCUGUCAGUCUCUGCCUCAGAAAGGCUGGCCGAGGAAUGUUCAAUUCAGGGGUACUCCCUAUCCUGCUCAAAGACAAAACGGUGACAAAAGUGACAACACUUUAUGUCUGCAGAGUAAUUUAUAAGAAUAGCCUUGCAAAAUUCUCCAGCUUCAGUUGGUGUUUGUCACUUGCUGCCUGAUGUCUUCAGUCCAACAUUAGUGAUAGAAAAAUAUCAGGUCUGGCCAGGAAAAGGGCUUUUUAGCCUCUCUCUUCUUCUUAAAGGGGGCCUCUCUUCCAACUUAAGAAACAUUAGUCAAGCAUUGACUGUGUAUUCUGUGCUAGAUCCUGGGACACACAGAGAAAUUAGAUAAGACCCCGAGGUCGAGGCAUUGCCAUCCCUCAAACCUCAAGCCUCAUGCCUCCUGGUUGUAACCUUCCCUAGGGGCCCAAGAGAUGAUUGGUUCCCAGUCAGUCCCUUGACAAGUAUUCACCCUUUGCCUCCUCAGGAAAUCUCAUUCCAUUGCACUCUGUCCCUCUAGCCUUAGCAGAAACUAACACAUCUUGAGGACACUGCUCCCCUGUCUUAGUCAGUUUGGGUUGCUAUAACAAAAAUACCAUAAACUAAGUAAUUCAUCAGCGACAGAAAUUUGUUGCUAACAGUUCAGGAGCCUGGGAAAUCCAAGAUCAAGGUGCCAGCAGAUUCGCUUUCUGGUGAGGGCUUGCUCUCUGCUUCAUAAAUGACACCUUCUCUUGGUGUUUUCACAUGACAAAGGGUCAAACGAGUGCCCUCAGGCCUCUUUUUCAAGGGCAUUGUCCCAUUUAUGAGGGCACCACCCUCAUGACUGAAUCACCUCCUAAUUACCUCACCUUUUAAUAUCAGCACAUUGGGGAUUAGGUUUCAACAUGUGAAUUUUGAAGCGAUAUAAACAUUUACCAUAGCAUCCCCCUACCACUCUCUCCAUGGUUUCUCAUUCUCCCAUUCCUCAUUUACCUCAAGCUAAGGUGGGGGUAGAGAGGGAGUAGCACUGGGCACCCAUUGCUGCUUCCAGGCCAUCACUCCUCCUGCCUCCUGUGAGAGUCUCUUCUCCUUUAUGACUUUACCAUGAUGACUCCAAGUGAGGACUCCUCCUCAUGCCACCAACUGUGAACCUCCAAGGUACUGAAGAGAACUUCAGUAACAUUAAAAAAAAAAUCUCACUAUCAUCAAGUCCUGUGAGUUUAAGCUCUUAGUUUUCUCAGAUCUGAUCCCUCUGUCUUUGCAACCACUGCCCUGUUCAGGCCCUCGUUAUCUCUUGCCUGG
rnacentral:tRNA from 10 species